rnacentral:rRNA from 1 species
ACAUUGUGGGAUACAACUAUACGGGGAGCAUGAGUAACAGGAUACAAUCAGCGCGUCGCUUGACUAUAUAAAAGCUGACCAUAGCAUGGGCAUGACAAACACGGGGGCAGACGGGGGGAUAACAUCGGGGUCUUGAGUCGAAACUUCGUAUCAUUGGGUUUAAAGGGUUUGUAGAUGGGCGCAUAAGUCUCUGGGGAAAUUUGCAAGCUUAACGGAUGUUACCUCUGGCGAUGAAGUACGCCUAGCGUCCCGGAGUGGCAAGAGCUACUUUAUGCGUAGGGGGGAAAUGGGGUAGAUCCCCGAACGAGAUCACCAGGGGACGAAGAGGUCUAGCCAGAAAGGAUUUAGGGGCAAUAGAUCGAUGAGGUUACGGGCGAGAACCGGAUGAGAUACCGGGGUAGUCCUACAGUUAUAACGAUACAUCGUUAGUUUUCGAGCAGGGUGCGACCGUCAGAAAGACCGAGAAGGGAAUCUCUGAAACUAACCACUUGCGAAGUACGGCCGCAAGCAUUAAAGAUAAAGGAAUCGGCGGGCGACCACAAGGGCGAAUUCGCG